rnacentral:rRNA from 1 species
UACGAAGGGGGCUAGCGUUGCUCGGAAUCACUGGGCGUAAAGGGCGCGUAGGCGGAUUUCUAAGUCAGAGGUGAAAGCCCAGGGCUCCAACCCUGGAAUUGCCUUUGAUACUGGAGAUCUAGAGACCGGAAGAGGUAAGUGGAACUGCGAGUGUAGAGGUGAAAUUCGUAGAUAUUCGCAAGAACGACCAGUGGCGAAGGCGGCUUACUGGUCCGGUUCUGACGCUGGAGGCGCGAAAGCGUGGGGAGCAAACAGG